AAUAUGUACAAGUUGGUACCUAAUUCCCAAACACAGCUUACACUGCGUGAUAAUAAGAGGUUGGUCCCUGUCACAAUAAUCAAACAAGUUAUUCAAAAUCGGACACAAUCAAAAACUUCAGAUAGUUCUUCUCUGCCAGGAGCAAUAUUAGUGCACCUAAUUGUUCCAGGUCUCAAUGAAACUCAGCAGAAACUGCCUCCUCUCCUGACAAUAGAUGACAUACCUCAAGCAUCCAGGAAAAAACUGGCUAAGAAUGAAACUCAAGUAUGGCCUGCUGAAUCCAAAACACCGGAAGUUCAAGAAAUCUCUCCACAGUCCCUCCCAGCUCAGUCUGAGAAAAAACAUGGACCUGCGGAAUUUAAGUCAACGCCUAAACCCGAAUUGGUGCAAACUCAAAACAUA